rnacentral:misc_RNA from 1 species
GAUGAAGAACGCAGCGAAAUGCGAUAAGUAAUGUGAAUUGCAGAAUUCAGUGAAUCAUCGAAUCUAUGAACGCACAUUGCGCCCGCUAGUAUUCUGGCGGGCAUGCCUGUCCGAGCGUCAUUUCAACCCUCAAGCCCCCGGGCUUGGUGUUGGGGAUCGGCGAGCCUCCGCGCCCGCCGUCCCCUAAAUCUAGUGGCGGUCUCGCUGUAGCUUCCUCUGCGUAGUAGCACACCUCGCACUGGGAAACAGCGCGGCCACGCCGUUAAACCCCCAACUUCUGAACGUUUGACCUCGGAUCAGGUAGGAAUACCCGCUGAACUUAAGCAUAUCAAUAAGCGGAGGA